AUGCUUCAUACUGUUACAAGAGAGUUUUCUUCUUCUUCUUCUUCUUCUUCUUCUUCUUUUCUUUUCUCGAUAAGUAAAACGGGAGGAGACCGGCUGUGGGAAAAUCUGGUGAGGGCAAGGUAUGGACCUGAACUCAGGUCAUUGGUGCUAUUUACCAACUACACCAGUUGGCACCCUCUUAUAAAGGAGCAUAUUGCUUGAUGGAAAAUAGAACUACAAUGUUUCAAAGCGAGGUACAUGCGUUAUGAUUUAUGUUGGUGCAUGGUGUAGAUAAACUUGUUUUGUUGGUGCAUUUGAACAAAAAUCCUUGGCCAAAAACAACCGCAAGGUUUGCCAUGCGAUAUGUACAUUACAAAAUAAGAUGACUUACUGCACAAGUGCACUACAGGACUGAACAAUAGCAGCUACUAGAGUUCAGGUUCCUAGUAAAAUUGGUACGAGCCUUCGCCAGUAACAUGUGAGAAGGAUGGAAGUAGACAUGGUGCAUGAACUAUAAAUGAUGUACAAUAAUAUCUCUAACAAUACAGUCUGCAACUAAGAAGAGGACCAUAUUGUUGCUUGAAGUAACUAAGGGCAUAAUAAGAUUCUUCUGUGCUUCUCUUGUAAUUCACUUAGUUCAUGCAACAGUUAAAUAAAAUGAAACUUUCGCAAAUAAUUGGCAAAAUGACCUGCUGGUCAUGGAUGGUGGCAAUAGCAUGCAGCAGAUGAUACCAGCGAAUAAUGUUUCAUGUGUGAUUAAACCAUUGGGCAUUUAUUCGAACUUCCAUAAACUCCGAGAAAUAAAAACUUUUUUAUUUUAUACAUCCAAGUAUUUCAUUUUUCUCAUUCACCCACAGAAUGGUUCGAAAGUUUUCACUUUCAAGCUAUUGCCCUCUGCUUUGGAAGACCGUAAUAGUCCGUGAACAACAACUGUAAGUUCUUUCCAAUUUAUGAGUUGAGAUAAUCUCUCUCUUUUUCCUUAUGUUUUCUCUAUUUAAACUUGGUCAACUAUCUUUCAUUCCUCAUCACAGACAUUAGCAGUUGGAAUUCCUACUUUAUAGGCCUCUUU
rnacentral:lncRNA from 1 species